CCUACGGGAGGCAGCAGUAGGGAAUCUUUCACAAUGGGCGAAAGCCUGAUGGAGCAACGCCGCGUGCAGGAUGAAGGCCUUCGGGUUGUAAACUGCUUUUAUCAGCGAGAAAUAUGAUGGUAACUUAUGAAUAAGGAUCGGCUAACUACGUGCCAGCAGCCGCGGUCAUACGUAGGAUCCGAGCAUUAUCCGGAGUGACUGGGUGUAAAGAGUUGCGUAGGUGGCAUAAUAAGUAGCUAGUGAAAUCUGGUGGCUCAACCAUUCAGACUAUUAGCUAAACUGUUAAGCUCGAGACCGUUAGGAGUAACUGGAAUUUCUAGUGUAGGAGUGAAAUCCGUAGAUAUUAGAAGGAACACCAAUAGCGUAGGCAGGUUGCUGGGACGGUUCUGACACUAAGGCACGAAAGUGUAGGGAGCAAACGGGAUUAGAUACCCGGGUAGUC
rnacentral:rRNA from 1 species